rnacentral:rRNA from 1 species
AGUGAACGCUGGCGGUAGGCCUAACACAUGCAAGUCGAACGGCAGCACAGUAAGAGCUUGCUCUUACGGGUGGCGAGUGGCGGACGGGUGAGGAAUACAUCGGAAUCUACUUUUUCGUGGGGGAUAACGUAGGGAAACUUACGCUAAUACCGCAUACGACCUACGGGUGAAAGCAGGGGAUCUUCGGACCUUGCGCGAUUGAAUGAGCCGAUGUCGGAUUAGCUAGUUGGCGGGGUAAAGGCCCACCAAGGCGACGAUCCGUAGCUGGUCUGAGAGGAUGAUCAGCCAAACUGGAACUGAGACACGGUCCAGACUCCUACGGGAGGCAGCAGUGGGGAAUAUUGGACAAUGGGCGCAAGACUGAUCCAGCCAUACCGCGUGAGUGAAAAAGGCCUUCGGGUUGUAAAGCCCUUUUGUUGGGAAAGAAAAGCAGCAGGUUAAUACCCCGCUGUUCUGACGGUACCCAAAGAAUAAGCACCGGCUAACUUCGUG